CGGGCACAGGGCCUGCCCUGCCUGCUGGAGAAACAGAAAAGUCCCUUUUCCCUGACUCCAGCUGGGGCUCUGAGUGGGGAGGGAAGGAGUGGGGACCGACCCGGGGCUGUGCCAGAAAAAGUGCCCUCAGGGUUACCUCUCCCCAGCCCUGGGCCCCCAGGUCCCCCCCGAGCACCAAGGCCUGUGCUGGGCACUGGGACCUCUGGAGGGACUCCCUUUCAGAGCCAGGCCUGGGACCCUCCCGAUCCCUGCUUGAUUCCUCCAGUUGGGGGCAUGGCAGGCGUGAAGAGGGCCUCGGAGGACUCUGAGGAGGAGCCGUCAGGGAAGAAGGCUCCAGUCCAGGCGGCCAAGCUGCCCUCGCCCGUCCCAGCCCGGAAGUCUCCACUAUCUCCAGCCCAGACAAACCCUGUGGUCCAGAGGAGGAAUGAGGGUGCAGGGGUCCCGCCCCCCAAGACUGACCAGGCAUUGGCGGGCAGCUUGGUCAGCAGCACCUGCGGGGUCUGCGGCAAGCACGUGCACCUGGUACAGCGGCACCUGGCCGAUGGGAGACUCUACCACCGGAGCUGCUUCAGGUGGGGCUGCCCUCUGCCCGCACGCCUGAGUGUGCACCUCCCCUCCCAGAACCCUC
rnacentral:sRNA from 1 species